rnacentral:miRNA from 1 species
UGCAUAUUUUGUUAAGAAGAUAUUAUUAAAAGUUGUUCGUCUUGAUCAGGGCUACAACAUUGCUUAAUAUCUUUUCAACAAAUUAUGCGUCUUUAAGGAGAUACGUCUGCGCAUGCGCAAGAGCGUAACUCCUUACGCUUGCAUAUUUUGUUACGAAGAUAUUAAUAAAAGUUGUUCGUCUUGAUGAGGGCUACAACUUCGCUUAAUAUCUUUUUAACAAAUUAUGCG